UGGGCGUCUGUUUUUAGCAACCAGUUCAUUGUACUCUCGGUUUUGUUUUCUUACCAGGUACACACCAUAGAAAAUGGCUUUGCACAGCCGGCUGUCUGUAACACAGAGAGUGUUGCUAGCUGUCAUUUGUUUCCCUCUUCUCCCGUUUUACCUGUGCUAUCUAUGUUGCUGUGCCACCGAAGAAGAUGCCAAUGAACAAGAGGAGCACAGACUUGGU
rnacentral:lncRNA from 1 species